GAUGAACGCUAGCUACAGGCUUAACACAUGCAAGUCGAGGGGAAACGAUGAGAGAGCUUGCUCUCUUAGUCGUCGACCGGCGCACGGGUGAGUAACGCGUAUCCAACCUGCCUCUGACCAAGGGAUAACCCGUCGAAAGUCGGACUAAUACCUUAUGCAGUCGUCGGAAGUCAUCUGAUGACGACGAAAGAUUUCAUCGGUGAGAGAUGGGGAUGCGUCUGAUUAGCUUGUUGGCGGGGUAACGGCCCACCAAGGCGACGAUCAGUAGGGGUUCUGAGAGGAAGGUCCCCGACAUUGGAACUGAGACACGGUCCAAACUGCUACGGGAGGCAGCAGUGAGGAAUAUUGGUCAAUGGGCGUAAGCCUGAACCAGCCAAGUAGCGUGCAGGAGGACGGCGCUAUGGGUUGUAAACUGCUUUUAGGCGGGGAUAAAGUGAGGGACGUGUCCUUCAUUGCAGGUACCGCAUGAAUAAGAACCGGCUAAUUACGUG
rnacentral:rRNA from 1 species